rnacentral:rRNA from 1 species
UACGGGGGGGGCAAGCGUUGUUCGGAAUUACUGGGCGUAAAGGGCUCGUAGGUGGCCAACUAAGUCAGACGUGAAAUCCCUCGGCUUAACCGGGGAACUGCGUCUGAUACUGGAUGGCUUGAGAUUGGGAGAGGGAUGCGGAAUUCCAGGUGUAGCGGUGAAAUGCGUAGAUAUCUGGAGGAACACCGGUGGCGAAGGCGACAUCCUGGACCGGUAUUGACGCUGAGGCGCGAAAGCCAGGGGAGCAAACGGG